rnacentral:lncRNA from 1 species
GUGUGAGAUAAAACCUCCAUACAACAUGGACUGGGAAUAUUUCCUUGCAGAUCAAUCCAGCUCCAUCCAGGCUGCAGGGAAUAUGGAGACUUCCCGACCUGACAGUCCAACAGAGAGGAAGAAAUCUGAUAACAAGGACUCAAAGAGUCGAGGAGCUGCUGCAGAAAAUAUGGAGACAUCACCAUCACAACCUGACUGUUCAAAAGAGACAUCUGUUAACAGGGAAGAAGAAGAAGAACAGUCUGAUGUGUCUCCACAUGCUGCAGAUACUCAGACACUGAUGUGUCCACAUUGUGAAAAACUUCUAGCUGAGUUUACUGCUGAGAUGGCUGUGAAUGAAGAGAAAUGUCAGAAGAUCCUGGAAGAACUGAAGAGGUCUGAAAUCAAAGAUUAUGUUCCACGUGCUGAAGAGUUGAAGAAGAAAAUUCAAAGUCUCCAGAGUGAUGUUUUGAAAUUCUUCACUGAUGUGAACAGUUUUCCUUCAAAGAAACCAAGAACAGAACAAGACAACCAGGCUGCAGACAAUACAGAGACAUCACAACCUGACCGUCCAGAAGAGGUCCAGAGUGAACCAACUGCUGCAGAAAAUAUGGAGACAUCACCAUCACAACCUGACUGUUCAAAAGAGACAUUUGUUAACAGGGAAGAAGAAGAAGAACAGUCUGCUGUCUCUCUACAGGCUGCAGAGUCAAACAGUGGGCAAAUUAAAAAAAGACUACAUUCAAGUAAUGACACUGAGCUCAGUUCUAACAACCAGUCAGACUCACACCAUCAGACGAAGAUCCAAAAAGAAAAGGCUGCAGAAAAUAUGGAGACAUCACCAUCACAACCUGACUGUUCAAAAGAGACAUUUGUUAACAGGGAGAAAGAAGAAGGACAGGCUGCAGACUCAGACAGUUUGAGCCAUCCACACUCUAAGAGACAAUUUCCAGUUGACACUGCUGCUGUGGCCAUGAUCCAACAAAAUGAAGUAAGAAAGAGCAUUUAACUUUAAAAGCACAUAAAGAUUUAAAAAAGGGUGAAAUGGAUUUGGAGCUCCUGCAUUAAUGUUCAUAACGCAUUUUCAUCUUCACUUAAACUGGCUUAAAAACAAACAACAC